AGUUACAGAUACUUUACGAAAGGAGACACAAGCCUACAUACAUACAUAUACAUACACAUAUGUACCAUAAAAAAAUUUAAUUUUUAGUAAUUUUGUAAACACCAAAUAUGAUGUUUUUAAUCAUAAAUUGUUAUAAAAAAUUUCUCCAGCUUUAUACAACGACCAGACUAUUUUGGAUUAUUGUUAUAGGCAUAUCUUGUUGGAAUAUGACAGUAAUUUGUAUUUUAAUGUUAAAAAGAUAUAUUUCCGAUUCUAUAAGUAUAAGCGUCGAAACUUCAUUUCUACACUGGAAUAUUACGUUCCCAUCUGUAUCAAUUUGCUUAUCUAAGAGUCGGUCUAAUGUGGAAAUUAUGCGCUUUCUGAACCAAAAGAAUAUUAAUUACAUAAAAAAUAUUCAUAAUUAUUUAUUCAUCACACCGACUAACAUUAAUACCAAAGAAGAUUACUGCAGAGGCUUUAACUCAACCUGUGGAGUAAAUAUUCAUAUUGCAAGAGAACAAUUACUUACACAAUUCUGUGAAUCCAUUAUAACAGAUAUCACAUUUUUGGAAGUUAAACAACACAACUGCGCUGAAAUAUUUAAAUUUCAUGAUCUUGAAAUGGGUUAUUGCUUUCUAGCCAAUAAUUUUAUUGAUUAUCGCAAUUUAGAUGAAUUGCCAUUACGACUUAGCCCGUUUGAAGCGAAGAAAUCAUUAAAACUUUUUCUAAAACAAGAAUCACUUUGGAAAUACGAGAUGUACGUACAUAGCAACGUGGAUAUACCAUACUUCGGAUUACUUUCACAAACUUUGGGAAAGGAUCAUAUAAGAUAUACUUAUAAUAUGGAAGAAAUGCUAAAUAGCUUGACAGUAAAUGAUCAAAGCUUUGAAAAAAGAAAAUGCAAGUUUCCGCAUGAAAUAAUUUAUGGAUCCACUUAUCACUACAGUUUUUCAUCAUGCAUGUCUGAUCUCAGAGUAAUUUUGGAGUUAAAAUACUGUAAUUGCACAUUAUUCACAUCUCCGAUAAAAUAUUUCAAUUAUUUCUGUGAUUUUCGGGGAAUGGCAUGUAUAUCUAAAGAGGAUAUAACUUUUAAGGCAAAACAAAUCGCUAGAGAAAAAUAUGUAUGUUAUCCGUCGUGUUCGGAGCAGAAGCUUCAGUUUGUUGGCUGCCUUUGAACUACAUGUAUGUUCUUCCAGAGAGCGGUCUAAUGAAAUUAAAAAAUUAGCUCGUCCAAGAUUUGCACUAGUCGAGGUUGAAAUACAAAAUGUUCCCCCACUACGUUGUGUAAGAAGUGUUACUCAAUCUUAUCAAGAUUUGGUUGUUUCAGCUGGAGGUGUCAUUGGUCUUUUUAUUGGUAUUUCUAUAUUAAGUGUGAUUGAUAUUAUAUACAUUUGUUUAAAAAAACUCUAGAUACGUACUUAUUUUCUUAACAAUAACAAAUAUUUUAAACGCUUUAUGAAAUAUGUAUGAAACUGUUGUUUUAAAAAGCGUUUUAUAUGUAAUUUGUUUUUAUGAAUUUUGAGCUAAAGAUUAUAGUUUUUGCUCUACAAAACGGUUUGUCCAAAUAUACUUGUUGACUAUUAA